rnacentral:rRNA from 1 species
UAAGGAAUAUUGCGCAAUGGACGAAAGUCUGACGCAGCAACGCCGCGUGCAGGAUGAAGGCCCUUUGGGUCGUAAACUGCUGUAGCAGGGGAAUAAAAGUCCACCGCGGGUGGAUUUGAAGGUACCCUGAAAGUAAGCUCCGGCUAACUACGUGCCAGCAGCCGCGGUAAUACGUAGGGAGCAAGCGUUGUCCGGAUUCACUGGGUGUAAAGGGUGCGCAGGCGGGAGAGUAAGUCAGAGGUGAAAUCUCACAGCUUAACUGUGAAACUGCCUUUGAUACUGCUUUUCUUGAGUUCGGGAGAGGUUGAUGGAAUUCCAGGUGUAGCGGUGAAAUGCGUAGAUAUCUGGAAGAACACCAGUGGCGAAGGCGGUCAACUGGCCCGUAACUGACGCUCAGGCACGAAAGCGUGGGUAGCGAACAG